UAGUGGAGCAGCUAGACAAAUAAGCUGAGACGGCAAUAAGAUGCGGCUGGUGCCAGAGUAAGGAAAUCAGUGGAUGCUCUGCCAAUGGCACUUUUUACCCCAGGAGCAGCUAUCAGCUAAUACUUAACACAAGUGUCUGGGUCUACGUUUCUCUCCCUCUCCACAACAUCUUACAUGCCCAGGAUGAACCCAAAUGAAGCCCUACAGAUCCCAAUCCCAAUUCAUGUCAAGCUUCUAUGAGCAAACAGCUUUUCUAUCUGAAUGUGCAAAACAAACACUAAGGACCAUUUACUACACAAGUUCCUCAGACAUAUUUCAAAGACUAGAGUAUAAAAAAUACUCCUGAUGUAUUUCUACCUCUCCAUGAUGUGGUCAGAGAAUUAAUUCCAUGAAGAAGGGGACUAUGGAAGACAUUGCAAUUGACGAACCAUCCUCCUCGCCUCCCCUUAUAAACAGAAUCUCAAUUUUAUUGGGGGCAGCAAUGUGUACAGCUCAUAAUACUUGGUGAGAUAAUCAUUUUCCCAGACUCCUUUGCUGUUGAGGACACCAGCAUAGCACAUUCCUGCCAACGAGAUUUUUCUGGGAAUCUGCUAGGAGGCUUCUGAGAGUUUUUGAAUGUUUCUAAAAGGGACGAGAAUAAGAAGAGAUUCCUUUGCCACUUCUUUGUGAUUUGAAAGCAGAUGAGAUGUUGGGAGCUAUGGCAACCAUGGGACAAUGAGGCAACACAAAUAAAGACAAAAGCCAGCAUGCUAAGAACACAGAGAAGAAUGAAACCAUGCCCUUGGUAACAUUUUAGAGGGACUGGACUAUGGACUGCCCGUCCUAAAUUUCUGUUAGAUAAACAUUACUUGUCCCUGCGGUUUAAGCCACGUUUAAGUGCCUAUUAUGGUACUUGCUGCUGAAAGCAUUGCUAGCGGAGAUCAGUGUGUGUCCUGUUCAUCUCUCCAGCCUUAGUACCAAGACCAGUGGCUGACACGUAGUAAGCGGCCAAAGAAUAUUUGUUGAAAGAAUAAAAAGAUGAGUGGAUUUUAGUUCAGAUACAAAGCAUCAGACCUAACUUGUGAGUGGUAAAGAUAUUUUAUUUAUUUUAUACUGAAUUUUUAUUGAGUAUAAUUUCUCUGAAAACAAAAUGUGCCAUGCAUAUUUUUUUGCCUUAUACCGCUUUUUUCUUGCUAACCAAACCCCAGAUUUCUUGACCCUUGAACACAGUAUCUAAGGGAGGAUAGACCCCUCUCCAGUCCCAGAAAAUAAAUGUUGAUUAGCCCAUGCCAAUCAUGGUGGUCUCAUACCAAUUGCAUGAUGGGGUGUCUUAUGCCUGGGCAUGAGAGACAAUUGUGGCCAAUGGGGCUAAUUCUGCUGGGUACUUUGAAGAAAGGUAUUUUUCACUAAGAAAAGGUGGUAAGUGGAAGGAAAUGAUCCUCUUCUCAGGUCUUCAUAUGAUGUCACGACCUCCAUCAGCCAUCUUGCAAAACAAAGGAUAAAGCUUGAGGACUAAGCCACCACACUGAGAAUGGGAGCAUGGAGAGAUGGAAAGAACUUGCGUCCUUCAUGACACGGUUUAGCCAGUCUAGGAACCAAACUAUCCCCAGACUCCCGGGCAAAUACAGGCUUUGUGGAGCCUGGAGCUUCUUCAGUCUGGGGGUUCUCUU
ensembl:lncRNA